rnacentral:rRNA from 1 species
CCACCACUAAGCCAGUGGUGAACUCCACAUACGCAUCCUUUGCUGAGGAUACGGUUAACGGAGCGAAAGCGACGUUCAACCUCAAAAGAAGCAGAGGGGGCUUAGUGGUGGGGUGACUGCGUACCUUUUGUAUAAUGGGUCAGCGACUUAUAUUCUGUAGCAAGGUUAACCGUAUAGGGGAGCCGCAGGGAAACCGAGUCUUAACCGGGCGUUAAGUUGCAGGGUAUAGACCCGAAACCCGGUGAUCUAGCCAUGGGCAGGUUGAAGGUUGGGUAACACUAACUGGAGGACCGAACCGACUAAUGUUGAAAAAUUAGCGGAUGACCUGUGGCUGGGGGUGAAAGGCCAAUCAAACCGGGAGAUAGCUGGUUCUCCCCGAAAGCUAUUUAGGUAGCGCCUCGUGAACUCAUCUCCGGGGGUAGAGCACUGUUUCGGCUAGGGGGCCAUCCCGGCUUACCAACCCGAUGCAAACUGCGAAUACCGGAGAAUGUUAUCACGGGAGACACACGGCGGGUGCUAACGUCCGUCGUGAAGAGGGAAACAACCCAGACCGCCAGCUAAGGUCCCAAAGUCAUGGUUAAGUGGGAAACGAUGUGGGAAGGCCCAGACAGCCAGGAUGUUGGCUUAGAAGCAGCCAUCAUUUAAAGAAAGCGUAAUAGCUCACUGGUCGAGUCGGCCUGCGCGGAAGAUGUAACGGGGCUAAACCAU